GACGAACGCUGGCGGCGUGCUUAACACAUGCAAGUCGAACGGAGUGGCGAACGGGUGAGUAACACGUGGGUGAUCUGCCUUGCACUUCGGGAUAAGCUUGGGAAACUGGGUCUAAUACCGGAUAGUGCAAGAUGAGCUCGCGGCCUAUCGGCUUGUUGGUGGGGUAAUGGCCUACCACGGCGUCGACGGGUAGCCGGCCUGGGAGGGGGUACGGCGACAUUGGGACUGGGAGACGGCGCAGAGUGCUACGGGGGGCAGCAGUGGGGAAUAUUGCACAAUGGGGGGAAGCCUGAGGCAGCGGCGCCGCGGGGGGGAAGAAGGCCUUCGGGUUGUAAACUCCUUUCGGCAGGGACGCGGUACCUGUAUAAGAAGCACCGGCUAACUACGUGCCAGCAGCCGCGGUAAUAC
rnacentral:rRNA from 1 species